rnacentral:rRNA from 1 species
CGCCUCUUGAAAGCCCAUAAGAGGUCCCGCCUGCCCUGUGACAAUGUUUAACGGCCGCGGUAUUCUGACCGUGCAAAGGUAGCGUAAUCACUUGUCUUUUAAAUGAAGACCCGUAUGAAAGGCAUCACGAGAGUUCAACUGUCUCUACUUUCCAAUCAAUGAAAUUGAUCCACCCGUGCAGAAGCGGGUAUAAACACAUCAGACGAGAAGACCCUAUGGAGCUUCAAACACAUGAAUUAAUUAUGUAGACUAACUGCUCCACGGACAUAAAUAAAAAUACAACACUUUUAAUUUAACUGUUUUGGUUGGGGUGACCGAGGGGAAAAAUCAAUCCCCCUUAUCGACCGAGUGUUCUCAAGCACUUAAAAAUUAGAAUUACAAUUCUAAUUAGUAAAAUAUUUACCGAAAAAUGACCCAGAAUUUUCUGAUCAAUGAACCAAGUUACCCUAGGGAUAACAGCGCAAUCCUUUCCUAGAGUCCCUAUCGACGAAAGGGUUUACGACCUCGAUGUUGGAUCAGGACAUCCUAAUGAUGUAGCCGUUAUUAAGGGUUCGUUUGUUCAACGAUUAACAGUCCU